ACGUAGGUGGCAAGCGUUGUCCGGAAUUACUGGGCGUAAAGCGUGCGCAGGCGGUUCUGUAAGCCAGGUGUGAAAGCCCCGGGCUCAACCUGGGAAUGGCAUUUGGGACUGCAAGGCUUGAGUGCGGCAGAGGAGACUGGAAUUCCUGGUGUAGCAGUGAAAUGCGUAGAUAUCAGGAGGAAUACCGAUGGCGAAGGCAGGUCUCUGGGCUGACACUGACGCUCAUGCACGAAAGCGUGGGGAGCAAACGGGA
rnacentral:rRNA from 1 species